UGCAGAAUCCCGCGAACCAUCGAGUCUUUGAACGCAAGUUGCGCCCGAGGCCUUUUGGCUAAGGGCACGCCUGCCUGGGCGUCACGCCAAACACGCUCCCGCCCCAUAACCUAGGUUGGGACGCGGCAUGUGGCUCCCCGUCUCGCAAGGGGCGGUGGGCCUAAGAUUUGGCUGCCGGCGUAUCGUGCCGGACACAGCGCGUGGUAGGCGACCUCGCUUUACUAAUCGCAGUGCAUCCGGCACGUAGCCGACUCUAUGGCCUCAACUGACCCUAUUAACGGAGCGCUGGACGCUUCGACCGCGACCCCAGGUCAGGCGGGACUACCCGCUGAAUUUAAGCAUAUAAAUAAGCGGAGGAGAAGAAACUUACAAGGAUUCCCCUAGUAACGGCGAGCGAACCGGGAAUAGCCCAGCUUGAGAAUCGGGCGGCCUUGCCGUCCGA
rnacentral:rRNA from 1 species